rnacentral:lncRNA from 1 species
CACAAGCUCCUCAGGGGACUCACAUGGGUAGCAAAGCAGAAGAAUCGCUGCCUUGUAGAGCAGCACUGAGGAGUAAAUUCGAUGGCGAGGGCUUGCCAUGUGCUGCUCGCAAACCACUGCAAUUCAACUUAAAUAAAGCAGCUAUUCAAGGGAGAGGUUUGAAUGGGAGAUGGGGAGGUGUGGGCCCAACCCCAGGAAGAAGAGACUGGAGGAUGACUGCUCUGAAGCAACAGUUUCCAUGGGUCAGGAGUACAGACAUAGGUUACCUGAGUCCUCUGCUCAGGGUCUCGCCAGGCCACAAUCAAGGUGUGAGCUGGGCUGUGGUCUCAUCUGAGGCUCAGGAUAUCAGCAGAAUUCAGUUCCUUGUGGUGGUAGGACUGAAGUCCCACUCUCUUGCUGGCUGUCAGGUGGUGGCCACUCAAAGAUCCCAGAAAUUGCCCACAAUUCUUUGCCACAUGGUCCCCUCCACAGGUUCCCUCAUGCUUCUGAUCACUCUGAC